rnacentral:sRNA from 1 species
GACCCCUAUAUUCUACUGCCUUGAUAUCUGAUCCUUCGAUCCGAAUCCCUUCCAAUAUAUCACCGUAUUAUCUUAGAGUUCUAAGGACCUCCCCUAGAAAAGUGGCGAGUCCCUUGACCCGCUGCCUACAUCUUCCUCCUUUGAACAUCGUCAACAACACUUCAUUCAUUCAAGCAGGUCAGUAGUCAGGUAGCCAGCUAGUAAGCUAAUAUUGAUAGAUAGGUGGGUAGCUGCUACUUGGUGAUGUUUAUUCUCAUAGAGAUUGAUUGGAUAUUGAGCAGGAAGGUUGGUUGAUAGAUAGGGAUGUAGAUAGGUAGAUAGGUAGCUAUCUAGCGGGCAUUCUAUAUUCCAUUGGCAA